ACGAUCCGUAACUGGUCUGAGAGGAUGAUCAGUCACACUGGAACUGAGACACGGUCCAGACUCCUACGGGAGGCAGCAGUGGGGAAUAUUGGACAAUGGGCGAAAGCCUGAUCCAGCCAUGCCGCGUGUGUGAAGAAGGUCUUCGGAUUGUAAAGCGCUUUAAGUUGGGAGGAAGGGCAUUAACCUAAUACGUUAGUGUUUUGA
rnacentral:rRNA from 1 species